rnacentral:rRNA from 1 species
UACGGAGGGUGCAAGCAUUAAUCGGAUUUAUUGGGCGUAAAGGGCGCGUAGGCGGUCGUAUAAGUCAGAUGUGAAAUCCCGGGGCUCAACCCCCGGAACAGCAUUUGAAACUAUACGUCUAGAGGGUAGGCGGAGAAAACGGAACUCCACAUGUAGCGGUGAAAUGCGUAGAUAUGUGGAAGAACACCGGUGGCGAAGGCGGUUUUCUAAGCUUAUUCCUGACGCUGAGGCGCGAAAGCA